rnacentral:lncRNA from 1 species
UGAUAUCAAAACGCGGAGGGCGGGGCCCGUGCGAAUGAGUGCGUGAGACGGACCGAGCGAGCCCGUAAUAUUGGAGGAAGUUGACUGUUGCCGGUUGAUCUGUGUGGUGAGAUCGGGUGAACGAAGUUGCAAGAGAGACGUGGACGAUGGAACAGGGAUGCAGAUCUCGUACCGCCGGAGACGACGACCCGGCAGAGCACCUGGAGGACCUCGCCAUGAAGAUCGUGGACGCUGAGAGGGCUCGUUACGACCGGGUGUUGCAUCAAUGAGUGCACCAGAUGGAUGGCAAGCUUUGUACCCUUGUGUGACGAUCAGUUGGUAUAUGUUAAAGAUCCUAUGGUGUCCUUCAAGAAAGAGCAGGAUUGCAAUUCUGAAGUCACAAGAGGUGAACGGCGAAGAGCCACAGGAACAAGAGAUGAAUGCUGACUGGCUGAAAGGACGAGGACCCUGGGUGUCUGCAGGGACUGGCCGGAAAGACGAGUACCCUGAGUACCUGCAAAUAAUUCAUACUUUUGAAUUUGCUACAAUUGUGUAUUGGUGGGCAUUGGAUGAGAAGACUGUAUCUGCAUCAGUGAAUGAAGUUUUCCUGAGUUUAAUGUGGACUGUCCUUGAGACAACACUGCACUUUGGAUUGGACAACACAGUAUAGGACCAACAACAUGAUGGAUCAAGUACCACUGAGUGGCAAGGAUUCAUGCCAGACGAAAGGAUCAACGAACUGGACAAAAUGUGUCCUGUGCCAAGAUAAUUCUUCCCUGAAAGGGGCCUUGGUGUUGCAUCCAUAAGUCAAGUCGUUCUGCCGUUUGAUAGAGACAAUACAGGAGCGAGAGCCACUUUACAUGAUGGUGUAUGACACAUGGUGAUUAUGUACAGAUUCAUAAACGAUUUGAGGGGAUGUCAGCAGAACUGUUGCAAAAGGAGAAGGCUGUCUGGCACUGAACAUGCUAUUCCAACGCAACUAACAAGGACCAAAUUCGUUGUGCCAGGGUUCGUUAUGAUCAGGCACUAUCAUCAGGGUCGCAUCUCGCCCCCCCCCCCCCCCCCCCCCCCCCCCCCCCCCCCCCCCCCCUGGAGUCGUCAAGCUCCUCCACACCAUUCACUCGGUCAUCCACAGACCCCUAUGACAAGGCUUUGUGCUUCUUUUGCCAGUGGACUGAUGGUCAACCUAUUUACCUUGUACGGAGUGACAGUGCGGGCAAAUUGCUGAGAGAAGCUGUUGAUGUUGCUCAGAACCCUGUUUUUAUGACUCGAUUGAACACUGCUAUAGCGCCAAGUGAUGCACAUGCAAUUGUCGUUAUGUACCACAGGUUUUGCUGGACCAAACAUGUCUUCCAUGUCUUGCGAGAUCACGACACCAAAGGAGAGAAGGAUAAAGCCUCAAUGACACAAGUUCCCCCCCCCCCCCCCCCCCCCCCCC